GAUGAACGCUUGCGGCGUGCCUAAUACAUGCAAGUCGAGCGAACAGACGAGGAGCUUGCUCCUCUGACGUUAGCGGCGGACGGGUGAGUAACACGUGGAUAACCUACCUAUAAGACUGGGAUAACUUCGGGAAACCGGAGCUAAUACCGGAUAACAUGUUGAACUGCAUGGUUCAACAGUGAAAGACGGUUUUGCUGUCACUUAUAGAUGGAUCCGCGUCGCAUUAGCUAGUUGGUAAGGUAACGGCUUACCAAGGCAACGAUGCGUAGCCGACCUGAGAGGGUGAUCGGCCACACUGGAACUAAAACACGGUCCAGACUCCUACGGGAGGCAGCAGUAGGGAAUCUUCCGCAAUGGGCGAAAGCCUGACGGAGCAACGCCGCGUGAGUGAAGAAGGUCUUCGGAUCGUAAAACUCUGUUAUUAGGGAAGAACAAAUGUGUAAGUAACUAUGCACGUCUUGACGGUACCUAAUCAGAAAGCCACGGCUAACUACGUG
rnacentral:rRNA from 1 species